rnacentral:snoRNA from 1 species
CCUCCUUUGUGCUCUCUGUUUUGUGUGGAGGUGGAGGGUAAGCGACUCUGGCCCCCUCAGCAUCAUGUCUUUGGUGCUGGUGGCAUGAUAUCCACUGGCUGUAUCCUCAAGUACCAGGACACAU